GUGAGUAACGCGUGGGUAACCUGCCCUAUGCAGGGGGAUAACACAGCGAAAGCUGUGCUAAAACCGCAUAAAGCUUAAGAAUCGCAUGAUUUUUGAGUCAAAGAUUUAUCGGCAUAGGAUGGGCCCGCGUCUGAUUAGCUAGUUGGUGAGGUAAAGGCUCACCAAGGCGACGAUCAGUAGCCGACCUGAGAGGGUGAUCGGCCACACUGGAACUGAGACACGGUCCAGACUCCUACGGGAGGCAGCAGUGGGGAAUAUUGCACAAUGGGGGAAACCCUGAUGCAGCAACGCCGCGUGAGUGAAGAAGGCCUUCGGGUCGUAAAGCUCUGUCCUAAGGGAAGAAUAAAUGACGGUACCUUAGGAGGAAGCCCCGGCUAACUACGUGCCAGCAGCCGCGGUAAUACGUAGGGGGCAAGCGUUAUCCGGAAUCAUUGGGCGUAAAGGGUGCGUAGGCGGUCAAUAAAGUCAGGGGUGAAAGGCUACGGCUCAACCGUAGUAAGCCCUUGAAACUUAGUGACUUGAGUGCAGGAGAGGUAAGUGGAAUUCCUAGUGUAGCGGUGAAAUGCGUAGAUAUUAGGAGGAACACCAGUGGCGAAGGCGACUUACUGGACUGUAACUGACGCUGAGGCACGAAAGCGUGGGGAGCGAACAGGAUUAGAUACCCU
rnacentral:rRNA from 1 species